UACGUAGGGUGCAAGCGUUGUCCGGAAUUAUUGGGCGUAAAGAGCUCGUAGGCGGCUUGUCGCGUCGGCUGUGAAAACUCAGGGCUCAACCCUGAGCCUGCAGUCGAUACGGGCAGGCUAGAGUCCGGCAGGGGAGACUGGAAUUCCUGGUGUAGCGGUGAAAUGCGCAGAUAUCAGGAGGAACACCGGUGGCGAAGGCGGGUCUCUGGGCCGAUACUGACGCUGAGGAGCGAAAGCGUGGGGAGCGAACAGG
rnacentral:rRNA from 1 species